rnacentral:rRNA from 1 species
UUUUAUGGAGAGUUUGAUCCUGGCUCAGGAUGAACGCUGGCGGCGUGCCUAAUACAUGCAAGUCGAGCGAACGGACGAGAAGCUUGCUUCUCUGAUGUUAGCGGCGGACGGGUGAGUAACACGUGGAUAACCUACCUAUAAGACUGGGAUAACUUCGGGAAACCGGAGCUAAUACCGGAUAAUAUUUUGAACCGCAUGGUUCAAAAGUGAAAGACGGUCUUGCUGUCACUUAUAGAUGGAUCCGCGCUGCAUUAGCUAGUUGGUAAGGUAACGGCUUACCAAGGCAACGAUGCAUAGCCGACCUGAGAGGGUGAUCGGCCACACUGGAACUGAGACACGGUCCAGACUCCUACGGGAGGCAGCAGUAGGGAAUCUUCCGCAAUGGGCGAAAGCCUGACGG